CCAUACACAAGCGUGUGGUGAAGCUGAGACUGAAGACGGAAAACUCUGCUGAUCUGAACGAUGCUGCUGUUAAAGCAAAGUUGCUGGAAGAGCUUCAGAAGAAACUGGAGGAGAACGGAGUGAGUGGAGUGGAGGUGAAGUGGAAACAGCAGACUGAUGGAAAAGUCUUCAACAAGGAGGAGAAAAAGAAGACUGAGCUCUGAAAAAUAAACCCUUUCAUUA